UACGUAGGGGGCGAGCGUUGUCCGGAUUUAUUGGGCGUAAAGAGCGUGUAGGCGGCCAGGUAGGUCUGCUGUGAAAACUCGAGGCUCAACCUCGAGACGUCGGCGGAAACCAUCUGGCUAGAGUCCGGAAGAGGAGAGUGGAAUUCCUGGUGUAGCGGUGAAAUGCGUAGAUAUCAGGAGGAACACCAAUAGCGAAGGCAGCUCGCUGGGACGUUACUGACACUGAGGCGCGAAAGCGUGGGGAGCGAACAGG
rnacentral:rRNA from 1 species